AAACGACUCUCGGCAACGGAUAUCUCGGCUCACGCAUCGAUGAAGAACGUAGCAAAAUGCGAUACUUGGUGUGAAUUGCA
rnacentral:rRNA from 3 species